AAUAGAUACCCCGGUAGUCCAUGCCGUAAACGUUGGGCACUAGGUGUGGGGCUCAUUCCACGAGUUCCGUGCCGCAGCAAACGCAUUAAGUGCCCCGCCUGGGGAGUACGGCCGCAAGGCUAAAACUCAAAGAAAAUUGACGGGGGCCCGCACAAGCGGCGGAGCAUGCGGAUUAAUUCGAUGCAACGCGAAGAACCUUACCAAGGCUUGACAUACACCGGAAAAGUGCAGAGAUGUGCUCCCCGUAAGGUCGGUGUACAGGUGGUGCAUGGUUGUCGUCAGCUCGUGUCGUGAGAUGUUGGGUUAAGUCCCGCAACGAGCGCAACCCUCGUCCCAUGUUGCCAGCGGGUUAUGCCGGGGACUCAUGGGAGACUGCCGGGGUCAACUCGGAGGAAGGUGGGGAUGACGUCAAAUCAUCAUGCCCCUUAUGUCUUGGGCUUCACGCAUGCUACAAUGGCCGGUACAAAGGGCUGCGAUACCGCAAGGUGGAGCGAAUCCCAAAAAGCCGGUCUCAGUUCGGAUUGGGGUCUGCAACUCGACCCC
rnacentral:rRNA from 1 species